UCCCUGGUGGUCCAGUGGUUAGGACUCCAUGCUUUCACUGGUGGGGCCCGGGUUCAAUCUCCGGUCAGGGAA